AUACGUUAAACGGUUGGCUCAAUCUCGCUUCUAUCUCUCCCUCGUUGUCCUCCUCAAUCCAUCGCUACCACCGCCACUUCAUCUUCAACGAAAUCGAAAGUUCCAAGCCACACACUCCUUCUUUCCCAUUGUCGAAGUUGUUUUCCCAUAGUCACUGUCCCUAGCCAGUGCGACGAUCUCGGAUCUUCUUUCGGAUCUUGGAUCUUCUCCGGCGACGACCUCCUUCAGCGACAUCUCCUCCCGUGGUAAUCUCCUCCGGUGACAUCACCUCCAGCUUCCUCUCCUUUCUGUCCUAGUUCUGUGCCUUCUCCGCCAAAAUCCUCAGCGCCUUCCUCAGCGUCUUCUCUGGUGACAUCUCUCUAUUGAAGAUCUCUAAAAUCCAAGCCAUCACAAGCAGAACAAGCACAACUCUCCCAUACUUCCUCAGUUCUUCUAUAACUUCAAAGCAUGAACCAGAUGGCAGAGUAAUCGUAGUUGAAUUCGAAACCCUUCGGUUGUUGAAUACAUAUGUUCCAAAUAAUGGGUGGAAACAGGAACCAAACUCAUUUCAAAGGAGAAGAAAAUGGGACAAAAGGAUUCUAGAAAUUGUUACACAAAAUUCAGACAAGCCUUUGAUAUGGUGUGGGGAUCUAAAUGUGAGUUCCGCAGGGAGGUUGAUGUGAGGAAGCUUGAUAUGAAUGAGAGACAACAGAUCGUUGACAAGAUCUUCAGGGUUCCUAAAGAAGAUAACGAGAAGUAUUUGAUCAAGUCAGCUAAUGCAUAUGUGGAGGGUUAAAUGAAGCCAUUCCUCUUACUGAAUCAUCCCGAUCCUGUGUUCAAUUGCGAACAAGUCAAUAGUACUCACUCAAUGCACAUGCUCCUUUUCCUUAUAGCGAACCAUUUUUCAGAGGUUCAUUAGUUGCUUAUGGACCACAGGCUAUUGUAAGUUCUGUCAAGAACAUCUUGUUUAUUCAUGCUAUCUAUUUUUUGUGCCUGCUAUUGUUGAGUUUGAAAUAUUUUGCUGUAGUUGGAUUUCUUACUAUAACAAUUUACUAUGAUCUCACUUCAUUUUUUAAAAAAAUUUAUAAGGGUCAACCCCAGAUGUUGCCCCAAGUGCUGGGAUUAGGAUCCCCCAAAAUCGCACUACCACUUGAUCUUGCUGAAGAUGGCCCUAUUUAUAUCAAUGCUAAAUAAUACCAUGGUAUACUGAGGUGGAGACAGUCACGAGCAAAGCUCGAGGCUCAGAACAAGCUCAUCAAAAAUCAUAAGCUCACUUGACGGAGGAAGAGAGAAAAGGGUACAAAGAAGUGAUGUGGGACGAUAAAGAAGUGUGUGGAUUCUACAUGGUGCGGUUUUGCCCUCACGAUCUCUUUGUCAAUACUCACAGCGAUCUUGGAAUUGGAUCAAGAGAGUGAGAUUCUAUCGCCAAAAGAGUUAAGAAUUAGGUCUUCUGGAGCAAGCAAUAGAGUAGCGUGAAAUAUGAUGGAGAUUUUAUGUAUUAAGAGUUACAUGUUAAGACAUUUAUAGUUAAAAAAUUAUGCUAUAUUUGAUACUAUGUAUAAGAGUUAUUACUUUUAAUUUUCAAUACUAAAAAAUUAUAUAUUUUGUUUAAUACUUUGUUUAUGAGUAAUAUAUUACUUUGUUUAUGAGAUAUAUAA